GAGGUUGUGGCUCAGAGGUAGAGCACUUGCCUAGAAUGCAUGAUGCACUGGGUUUGAUCCUCAGCACCACA
rnacentral:tRNA from 1 species